AUUAGAGUUUGAUCAUGGCUCAGAUUGAACGCUGGCGGAAUGCUUUACACAUGCAAGUCGAACGGCAGCACGGGAGCUUGCUCCUGGUGGCGAGUGGCGAACGGGUGAGUAAUAUAUCGGAACGUAUCCAAUAAUGGGGGAUAACGAGUCGAAAGAUUCGCUAAUACCGCAUACGCCCUGAGGGGGAAAGCUGGGGAUCUUCGGACCUAGCGUUAAUGGAGCGGCCGAUAUCGGAUUAGCUAGUUGGUGGGGUAAAGGCCUACCAAGGCGACGAUCCGUAGCUGGUCUGAGAGGACGACCAGCCACACUGGAACUGAGACACGGUCCAGACUCCUACGGGAGGCAGCAGUGGGGAAUUUUGGACAAUGGGCGCAAGCCUGAUCCAGCCAUUCCGCGUGAGUGAGGAAGGCCUUCGGGUUGUAAAGCUCUUUCGCAAGGGAAGAAACGAUUUAGGUGAAUAAUCUAAGUUAAUGACGGUACCUUGAUAAGAAGCACCGGCUAACUACGUGCCAGCAGCCGCGGUAAUACGUAGGGUGCGAGCGUUAAUCGGAAUUACUGGGCGUAAAGCGUGCGCAGGCUGUUUUGUAAGUCAGAUGUGAAAUCCCUGGGCUCAACCUAGGAACUGCGUUUGAAACUACAAGACUAGAAUAUGUCA
rnacentral:rRNA from 1 species